UCGACCUGAGGUCAGGCAAGAACACCCGCUGAACUUAAGCAUAUCAAUAAGCGGAGGU
rnacentral:rRNA from 1 species